UCCAAUGUGGUGUAGUGGCUAACAUUGCUGUCUUUCAUCUGUGAUGAAAAUACGUGAACGACACAGCAGCCCGGGGUUCGAUUCCCCGCAUUGGAA
rfam:Gymnopus luxurians FD-317 M1 unplaced genomic scaffold GYMLTscaffold_24, whole genome shotgun sequence.